rnacentral:rRNA from 1 species
AGAGUUUGAUCCUGGCUCAGGAUGAACGCUAGCGGCAGGCCUAACACAUGCAAGUCGAGGGGUAGAGGAAGCUUGCUUCCUUGAGACCGGCGCACGGGUGCGUAACGCGUAUGCAAUCUACCUUAUACAGAGGGAUAGCCCAGAGAAAUUUGGAUUAAUACCUCAUAGUAUUAUGAAAUCGCAUGGUUUUAUAAUUAAAGUUCCAACGGUAUAAGAUGAGCAUGCGUCCCAUUAGUUAGUUGGUAAGGUAACGGCUUACCAAGACAAUGAUGGGUAGGGGUCCUGAGAGGGAGAUCCCCCACACUGGUACUGAGACACGGACCAGACUCCUACGGGAGGCAGCAGUGAGGAAUAUUGGUCAAUGGACGCAAGUCUGAACCAGCCAUGCCGCGUGCAGGAUGACGGUCCUAUGGAUUGUAAACUGCUUUUAUACAGGAAGAAACACUCCCUCGUGAGGGAGCUUGACGGUACUGUAGGAAUAAGGAUCGGCUAACUCCGUGCCAGCAGCCGCGGUAAUACGGAGGAUCCAAGCGUUAUCCGGAAUCAUUGGGUUUAAAGGGUCCGUAGGCGGUUUAAUAAGUCAGUGGUGAAAGCCUAUCGCUUAACGAUAGAACGGCCAUUGAUACUGUUAGACUUGAAUUAGUGGGAAGUAACUAGAAUAUGUAGUGUAGCGGUGAAAUGCUUAGAUAUUACAUGGAAUACCAAUUGCGAAGGCAGGUUACUAUCACUAUAUUGACGCUGAUGGACGAAAGCGUGGGGAGCGAACAGGAUUAGAUACCCUGGUAGUCCACGCCGUAAAC